rnacentral:rRNA from 1 species
UACGUAGGGUGCGAGCGUUAUUCGGAAUUAUUGGGCGUAAAGGGCGCGUAGGCGGCUUGGCAAGUGGAUGGUGAAAUCCCUCGGCUCAACCGAGGAACGUCGAUCGAUACUACCGUUCUUGAGGAUUGCAGAGGAGACUGGAAUUCCCGGUGUAGCGGUGAAAUGUGUAGAGAUCGGGAGGAACACCGGUGGCGAAGGCGGGUCUCUGGGCAAUUCCUGACGCUGAGGCGCGAAAGCGUGGGGAGCAAACGGG